CCCUGACAUCAUCGUGCUCAAGGUCUGGGAAGGCACCUGGGGGUUGUGAUCGGCAUCUUGGUGGCCGUCGUCCUCCUGCUCCUCCUCCUCCUCCUCCUGUUCCUCGUCCUCCGACACCGACGUCAGGGCAAACGCUGGACAUCGAGUGAGUAGGGAAUGGGGGGACCCUGAGGGCCGACUGAGGGUGGGCUCAGGGCACAGCCAAAGAGAAUCCAAACCUCUGGGCAAAUGCAGCUUUGAGAAACUGUUCCAGCAUUUCUCACCAGGUGAAUGGAGAAAGCACUUAAUGUCAGUCCCAUCUACAAAUGUAAAGUGUCCUCCGGGCUCAGUCCCAUCUACAAAUGUAAAGUGUCCUUUGGGCUCUGUCCAUCUCAUGAGGUAUUUGGAACAUGGAGGCAGGAGUGUUUUCAGGUUUCCUUCCUUACCUUUGAGCUGUGUGUGCGGGGCGAAGGGGGCUCCAAUGUUCCCAGGGCUGAGGCUCUGUCCUUCUUCCCCCAGCCCAGAGAAAGGCUGAUUUCCAACAUCCUGCAGGGGCUGUGGGGCCAGAGCCCACAGACAGAGGCCUGCAGAGGAGGUAAUUCUGUCCGAAGACCCCAGAUUCCCACUCGCUCGUGGCCCAUACACUGCCCCCAAAGCUCCCAUUCCUCCCCCAGGUCCAGCCCAGCUGCCGAUGCCCAGGAAGAAAACCUCUAUGCUGCCGUGAAGGACACACAGCCUGAGGACGGAGUGGAGCUGGACACUCGGGUGAGGCCCUGC
rnacentral:lncRNA from 1 species